UUAAAGAAGAAAUUAUGAGUAAGCCCUAGGAAUUCCAAAAGAAUUGAUAAUUAAUCUAUACCUAUAUGUUAAUCUAAAGAUGCGAAAGAUCAAAAUGUUUUAUACUAUCUCCUUGACCAUUAAUGCAUCCGACGUUUUUAAGAUUUAUCUCUGACAGUAACGAUGCGGUAUACUAGCUUUUCGAAUAAACGUUCCGACAGGAAUU